GCCAGGUCUGGGCCAGUUCUCCACAACAUAGCUUCCAGGAAAGCCCCACCUCCACUCAUCGUGACCAAAGAACACAGCAAAAACAGACACUUCAAACUCAGAAAACCUUGGUCCUGGCUAGAAGGAGGACCCAGAAGAUUCCAGACAUCCAAGGAAGAUACUCUGUGGGAAAAAGAGGAGAGGUGGGAGAAAGUGCUGGACUAGAGGACCCAGCAGUGGUCGUUGUUGACGCUCAUUUCUGCCGCUAAAUCACUUUGUGUCACUGAGAAAUGUUUUUUCCCUUUUAAUGCCUGAGGUUUCUUCUUGACAACUGAGAUGAAUGGACCAGGUAAUGUGAAAAUUUCCUGUUGGGAUGGUGAUAGAAAUUCACAUGUAAAUAAAAGUUCAUAGGAUUU